GCGGCCUCAGAUCUAUCAUACCGAACACCAUGAACCCUAAAGUAGUACUCGUCAUUUUGAUAUACAUGCAGAUGUUGACGAUUUUGACGUCUGAGAAGAUAGACACGAGUGGGCAGUGUCCGGUGGGUUUUUAUGGUCAGGACUGUACAUGCAGCUCCGAAGACCUUGCUAAUGUUACCAAAUACGAACUUAAGUGCAGCAAUGGCACUUGGGAAUUUCAUACCGAUGUUCAAUUUGAUUCGACACCUCUGAACAUCAUGUAUGAUACGCUGUCUGUUGAUGGCGAGCUCAGGUUUAGUCAGGCGA